rnacentral:rRNA from 1 species
GACGAACGCUGGCGGCGUGCUUAACACAUGCAAGUCGAACGCUGAACCCGCUUCGGUGGGGGAUGAGUGGCGAACGGGCGAGUAACACGUAGGCAACCUGCCCCCGGCUCUGGGUUAACUCCAAGAAAUUGGGGCUAAUACCUGAUGUGACCGCUGGCCGCAUGGUCUGGUGGUGGAAAGGGGUUCCGGCUGGGGAUGGGCGCGCGGCCUAUCAGCCUGUUGGUGGGGUAGUGGCCUACCAAGGCGACGACGGGUAGCCGGCCUGAGAGGGUGACCGGCCACACUGGGACUGAGACACGGCCCAGACUCCUACGGGAGGCAGCAGUGGGGAAUAUUGCGCAAUGGGCGGAAGCCUGAAGCAGCGACGCCGCGUGGGGGAUGACGGCCUUCGGGUUGUAAACCUCUUUCAGCAGGGACGAAGCGCAAGUGACGGUACCUGCAGAAGAAGCACCGGCCAACUACGUG